rnacentral:rRNA from 1 species
UACGGGGGGGGCAAGCGUUGUUCGGAAUUACUGGGCGUAAAGGGCUCGUAGGUGGCCAACUAAGUCAGACGUGAAAUCCCUCAGCUUAACUGGGGAACUGCGUCUGAUACUGGAUGGCUUGAGUUUGGGAGAGGGAUGCGGAAUUCCAGGUGUAGCGGUGGAAUGCGUAGAGAUCCGGAAGAACACCGGUGGCGAAGGCGGCCUGCUGGGCAGUUGCUGACACUGAGGCGCGACAGCGUGGGGAGCAAACAGG